rnacentral:rRNA from 1 species
CUAAGUUUCAACAACGGAUCUCUUGGCUCUCGCAUCGAUGAAGAACGCAGCGAAAUGCGAUAAGUAAUGUGAAUUGCAGAAUUCAGUGAAUCAUCGAAUCUUUGAACGCACCUUGCGCUCCUUGGUAUUCCUUGGAGCAUGCCUGUUUGAGUAUCAUGAAAUCU